rnacentral:rRNA from 1 species
GAUGAACGCUAGCGGCAGGCUUAACACAUGCAAGUCGAGGGGUAUUGGUUUUUCGGACCAAGAGACCGGCGCACGGGUGCGUAACGCGUAUGCAAUCUACCUUUUGCAGAGGGAUAGCCCCAGAGAAAUUUGGAUUAAUACCUCAUAGUAUAGUACUUUGGCAUCAAGGAACUAUUAAAGUCACAACGGCAAAAGAUGAGCAUGCGUCCCAUUAGCUAGUUGGUAAGGUAACGGCUUACCAAGGCUACGAUGGGUAGGGGUCCUGAGAGGGAGAUCCCCCACACUGGUACUGAGACACGGACCAGACUCCUACGGGAGGCAGCAGUGAGGAAUAUUGGACAAUGGGCGCAAGCCUGAUCCAGCCAUGCCGCGUGCAGGAUGACGGUCCUAUGGAUUGUAAACUGCUUUUAUACAGGAAGAAACACUCCGACGUGUCGGAGCUUGACGGUACUGUAAGAAUAAGGAUCGGCUAACUCCGUGCCAGCAG